UUCUUUGCUAAUUUGCCGCUUUUCCAUCUUCCCUCCCAAAACUUCCACUUUCCACGACUCUCUCUCUAGACGACGAUGUUGGCGCUCAAACUGUGGCUACUCCUGCUUGUCAUCUCCGCCAUGGCUCCUCGCUAAGUGGAGCUGAACUUUGGCCUGGAAAUUGUUAGCUUCCACCUUCGUUUCUCAUCUGGCUCCGACGCCAAAGCCUCGCACCUCGGCGGUGUGGCCAGCACAAUCUCGAAGCAAUGCAUCGAUUCGGCUUUAGACGCCAACUCCGAGGAGGCUGCCGCCACCGCCGCCGAUCGUCGCUGCGAGACGUCCUGGAGCCGCGACACGAUGAUGAAGCUGACCGUCUCCCACUCGCUUUCGCUGAUUGUCGUCGCCGGAAUGAUUGCAUUGGAAGAUUCUUUAGUCAGCAAAAAGAAAGGAUAGCCUGCUAAUUCCUACACACACUGAGAACUCCGACCAUCCUCAAACGCCGACCGACCCUCCAGAACUCUGACCCGACCCGCUCGAACGCCGUCCCGACCCGACCACCCACGCCUCCAGACCACGAUUGAAAUGUCAUCACAAAGCAAUUCUUCUUCCUUAACUAAGACGACUAUUUCCAGAAUUCCCAUCGACGAGGGAACGUAAUGUGCUCUCCCUGAAGUAACAUUAAGAUUUUAUUCUCAGAAUUAACAUUAAGGUUUAAUUCUUGUUUUAUUUUUUUAAUUACAUUUUU